CCUACGGGGUGCACCAGUGGGGAAUAUUGGACAAUGGGCGCAAGCCUGAUCCAGCCAUGCCGCGUGAGUGAAGAAGGCCUUAGGGUUGUAAAGCUCUUUCACCGGUGAUGAUAAUGACGGUAACCGGAGAAGAAGCCCCGGCUAACUUCGUGCCAGCAGCCGCGGUAAUACGAAGGGGGCUAGCGUUGUUCGGAAUUACUGGGCGUAGAGCGCGCGUAGGCGGAUAGAUAAGUCAGAGGUGAAAUCCCGGGGCUCAACCCCGGAAUUGCCUUUGAUACUGUUUAUCUUGAGUGCAGAAGAGGUAAGUGGAAUUCCGAGUGUAGAGGUGAAAUUCGUAGAUAUUCGGAGGAACACCAGUGGCGAAGGCGGCUUACUGGUCUGCAACUGACGCUGAGGCGCGAAAGCGUGGGGAGCAAACAGGAUUAGAUACCCGGGUAGUC
rnacentral:rRNA from 1 species